GAUGGGCUGUCCUUCUGGUAAUCUCCAAACCGCGAACACAUAUGUAUUAAAGCUUUAUCAAGCCAUCUUAUCGGGUCAAACUCAGCCUCAAUUUCCAUUUUGAAAGAGACUAGGCGUGCCAUGGCCACAGCAGCUGCUUCUUGGUCAAAUCCAGCAAUCAAAUCCUGAAUGCUUCCAGGUCCAGCAACCCAUCUUCUAGAAAGGGUUGUAAC
rnacentral:misc_RNA from 1 species